rnacentral:rRNA from 1 species
CCUACGGGAGACAGCAGUGGGGAAUCUUGCACAAUGGGCGAAAGCCUGACGCAGCGACGCCGCGUGAGGGAUGAAGGUCUUCGGAUCGUAAACCUCUGUCAGCAGGGAAGAACGGUCACUGUGCUAAUCAGCAGUGAAUUGCCGGUACCUUCACAGGAAGCACCGGCUACCUCCGUGCCAGGAGCCGCGGUAAUACGGAGGGUGCGAGCGUUAAUCGGAGUUACUGGGCGUAAAGCGCUCGUAGGCGGUAUGUCAAGUCAAGGGUGAAAGCCCCGGGCUCAACGUGGGAACUGCCUUUGAAACUGGAAAACUGGAGUGUGUGAGAGGAUAGUGGAAUUCUAGGUGUAGGAGUGAAAUCCGUAGAUAUCUGGAGGAACACCAGUGGCGAAGGCGACUAUCUGGAACAUAACUGACGCUGAGGAGCGAAAGCGUGGGUAGCAAACAGGAUUAGAUACCCUUGUAGUC